GCAGGUCCGUUGACACAUUGGAAGUCAAGGAAUAUACAUGGAAUUUCUUGGGACAAGUAUCGUUAUCCAUACAAAGGUACAACCUACUGUGAACCAUCAGAACAAAACAAACAGUCAAAAACAACAUAUGCUUGCCCAACCCCAGGUCCUCUGACACAUUGGAAGUCAAGGAGUAUACAUGGAAUUUCUUGGGACAAGGAUCAUUAUCCAUACAAAACUACAUCAUACCGUGAGCCAGCAGGAGAGCUGUACAGACAAUCAAAAACGACAUAUACUUCCCCAACCCCAGGU